UACGUAGGGGGCUAGCGUUGUCCGGAAUCAUUGGGCGUAAAGCGCGUGUAGGCGGUUCGGCAAGUCCGCUGUGAAAGUCGGGGGCUCAACCCUCGAAUGCCGGUGGAUACUGUCGGACUAGAGUACGGAAGAGGCGAGUGGAAUUCCUGGUGUAGCGGUGAAAUGCGCAGAUAUCAGGAGGAACACCAAUUGCGAAGGCAGCUCGCUGGGACGUUACUGACGCUGAGACGCGAAAGCGUGGGGAGCAAACAGG
rnacentral:rRNA from 1 species